AAGGGGGUUCUUUUGAAAAAUUUCAUUUUCCUAUUUUGUAGCUGCUCUACUUAUUCAAGGUUCGAUUCGGGUGUAUAGUCAGAAAGUGGAAUAUCUAUAUUCUUUGGUUUUGCAUGCGUUGGAGUUCAUUUCUCAGAAGAUAUUGGAUGGCUAAAAAAACAUCAUGGUGGUAGUCGGAAGUUAAUUUCCGAAGUAACUGAAGUGUGGAGCUCAUCUCUUUGUACCAAUGAUAGGGAAGUUAAUUUCAGUUUCCAUUAUUUCCACUCUAUUGAACUUUAGUUGUUAAAAUUUCAAAAAUUGUGGUUUUGAAUUUAAUUAGGGUGUCAGAAGGAAAAGACAAUCAACAAUAAAACUGCGUCUAAAGAAGUCUGCCUCCCAUGAAGAAAGAGAACAACAUGGUUCAUUUCUUGUUCUUUAGACCAUGAUUCAUUUUUGCAUCAUUUUGCAAAUGCUACGAUUUCAAAUCCCAUUUUUGAAUAAAAAAUCAGGAAAAAAAAUCUUCUUAAUUAGUUGAAAAUUUGCCCAUGUAUGGAAGCAUUCACAGUUAGAUAGCAAUUCCUUAAAGUGUAUAGAGUAGACCUUUCAUUGUUUCAAGUUGA